AUUUGGCCACGCCCACCACGGAAGUCUGCCUGUAGAACGAGGAGAGCGAGGCUGUGCUAUGGAGAGCGGCAUAUUGUUUGUAAGAUGAUUCUUCACUAGAGGUUACAUUGAAGUCAGGCAAUGACAGGAAGGAUGGCUGGGGAUUCCAAGAUCUGAUAAAAAAAAAGUUACAUGAAGAUACUUGGACAACUCAUGGGACCAAAGAGCUAUUACACCAGCUCCAGUCUAGAUCCUGUCUCUAUCAGAUGACCCUACACAUAAGGAAAGUUGACAUCGGCCAUCACGAGGACUUCAAAACUGUUCAAAGCACUAUACAAAUAAAUGUGAACAAAAUUGAAUUGUUUGAAGUCAACAGCAGAGAUGAGGAUGCCACACAAUGCAUCCUCUCCACAACAGAUCUUGCAUUACAAAGUGAUAUUGACAUCUUUCUUGGCCUCUCUGAUUACAAUCCUCCCAAUCAUUCCUGCAACACAAGAAGCACACAUUACUUUUAUGUCACAACUCACAGUUUGUCAUUAAAGUCUGGUCUACCUGCUACUUUUAAAAGAUCUUCGUAUCAAAAUUUCUUAAUUACUGGAUUUUAUUAAUUAAUUUUGUUUAGUUACCAAUAUAUUUAUUUACAUUUACACAUUUUUUCAUAUUCAUUCAUUUUAUCCUAAACUAUUUUGCUUGUUUCAUUACUGCAGAUUAUUUAUGUUGGGUGAUGCAUUGUCUUCAUAAGUAGAUAUAGGUAUAUCAGUGGUCUCCUCCGGCUAAAGAUUUUUGAUAAUGUCAUAAGACAAAGUAGCAUUGUGUAAUACUUUAUAUGUUGUUUAAAAUAUGGGUAACACUUUACAAUAAGGUUCAUUAGUUAACAUUAGUUAACUACAUUAAUUAACAUGAACUAAUAAUGAACUGCACUUAUACAGCAUUUAUUCAUCUUUGUUAAUGUUAAUUUCAACAAUUACUAAUACUUUUAUUAAAAUUUUGUUAAUGUUAGUUAAUGCACUGUGAACUAACAUGAACAAGCAAAUAAAGCUUUAUUUAUAUUAACUAACGUUAACAAAGAUUAAUAAAUACUGUAACAAAUGUAUUGCUCAUAGUUUGUUCAUGUUAGUUAAUACAUUAACUAAUAUUAACUAAUGAACCUUAUUGUAAAGUGUUACCGAAAUAUGUUACAAGACAAGUCAGACAGACCAUUGACA